rnacentral:rRNA from 3 species
CAGUGAUAAACUGGAGGAAGGUGGGGAUGACGUCAAGUCAUCAUGGCCCUUACGACCAGGGCUACACACGUGCUACAAUGGCGCAUACAAAGAGAAGCGACCUCGCGAGAGCAAGCGGACCUCAUAAAGUGCGUCGUAGUCCGGAUUGGAGUCUGCAACUCGACUCCAUGAAGUCGGAAUCGCUAGUAAUCGUGGAUCAGAAUGCCACGGUGAAUACGUUCCCGGGCCUUGUACACACCGCCCGUCACACCAUGGGAGUGGGUUGCAAAAGAAGUAGGUAGCUUAACCUUCGGGAGGGCGCUUACCACUUUGUGAUUCAUGACUGGGGUGAAGUCGUAACAAGGUAACCGUAGGGGAACCUGCGGUUGGAUCACCUC